rnacentral:rRNA from 1 species
CACAUGCAAGUCGAACGGUAACAGGAAGCAGCUUGCUUCUUUGCUGACGAGUGGCGGACGGGUGAGUAAUGUCUGGGAAACUGCCUGAUGGAGGGGGAUAACUACUGGAAACGGUAGCUAAUACCGCAUAACGUCGCAAGACCAAAGAGGGGGACCUUCGGGCCUCUUGCCAUCGGAUGUGCCCAGAUGGGAUUAGCUUGUUGGUGGGGUAACGGCUCACCAAGGCGACGAUCCCUAGCUGGUCUGAGAGGAUGACCAGCCACACUGGAACUGAGACACGGUCCAGACUCCUACGGGAGGCAGCAGUGGGGAAUAUUGCACAAUGGGCGCAAGCCUGAUGCAGCCAUGCCGCGUGUAUGAAGAAGGCCUUCGGGUUGUAAAGUACUUUCAGCGGGGAGGAAGGGAGUAAAGUUAAUACCUUUGCUCAUUGACGUUACCCGCAGAAGAAGCACCGGCUAACUCCGUGCCAGCAGCCGCGGUAAUACGGAGGGUGCAAGCGUUAAUCGGAAUUACUGGGCGUAAAGCGCACGCAGGCGGUUUGUUAAGUCAGAUGUGAAAUCCCCGGGCUCAACCUGGGAACUGCAUCUGAUACUGGCAAGCUUGAGUCUCGUAGAGGGGGGUAGAAUUCCAGGUGUAGCGGUGAAAUGCGUAGAGAUCUGGAGGAAUACCGGUGGCGAAGGCGGCCCCCUGGACGAAGACUGACGCUCAGGUGCGAAAGCGUGGGGAGCAAACAGGAUUAGAUACCCUGGUAGUCCACGCCGUAAACGAUGUCGACUUGGAGGUUGUGCCCUUGAGGCGUGGCUUCCGGAGCUAACGCGUUAAGUCGACCGCCUGGGGAGUACGGCCGCAAGGUUAAAACUCAAAUGAAUUGACGGGGGCCCGCACAAGCGGUGGAGCAUGUGGUUUAAUUCGAUGCAACGCGAAGAACCUUACCUGGUCUUGACAUCCACGGAAGUUUUCAGAGAUGANAAUGUGCCUUCGGGAACCGUGAGACAGGUGCUGCAUGGCUGUCGUCAGCUCGUGUUGUGAAAUGUUGGGUUAAGUCCCGCAACGAGCGCAACCCUUAUCCUUUGUUGCCAGCGGUCCGGCCGGGAACUCAAAGGAGAC